rnacentral:rRNA from 1 species
AUGAACGCUGGCGGCGUGCCUAAUACAUGCAAGUCGAGCGAACAGACGAGGAGCUUGCUCGUCUGACGUUAGCGGCGGACGGGUGAGUAACACGUGGAUAACCUACCUAUAAGACUGGGAUAACUUCGGGAAACCGGAGCUAAUACCGGAUAAUAUAUUGAACCGCAUGGUUCAAUAGUGAAAGACGGUUUUGCUGUCACUUAUAGAUGGAUCCGCGCCGCAUUAGCUAGUUGGUAAGGUAACGGCUUACCAAGGCAACGAUGCGUAGCCGACCUGAGAGGGUGAUCGGCCACACUGGAACUGAGACACGGUCCAGACUCCUACGGGAGGCAGCAGUAGGGAAUCUUCCGCAAUGGGCGAAAGCCUGACGGAGCAACGCCGCGUGAGUGAUGAAGGUCUUCGGAUCGUAAAACUCUGUUAUUAGGGAAGAACAAAUGUGUAAGUAACUAUGCACGUCUUGACGGUACCUAAUCAGAAAGCCACGGCUAACUACGUG